rnacentral:rRNA from 1 species
GGAGGAAAAGAAACCAACAGGGAUUGCCUCAGUAGCGGCGAGUGAAGCGGCAAAAGCUCAAAUUUGAAAUCUGGCGUCUUUGGCGUCCGAGUUGUAAUUUGAAGAAGGUAUCUUUGGGCCCGGCUCUUGUCUAUGUUCCUUGGAACAGGACGUCACAGAGGGUGAGAAUCCCGUGCGAUGAGAUGACCCGGGUCUGUGUAAAGUUCCUUCGACGAGUCGAGUUGUUUGGGAAUGCAGCUCUAAGUGGGUGGUAAAUUCCAUCUAAAGCUAAAUAUUGGCGAGAGACCGAUAGCGAACAAGUACAGUGAUGGAAAGAUGAAAAGAACUUUGAAAAGAGAGUGAAAAAGUACGUGAAAUUGUUGAAAGGGAAGGGCUUGAGAUCAGACUUGGUAUUUUGCAUGCUGCUCUCUCGGGGGCGGCCGCUGCGGUUUACCGGGCCAGCAUCGGUUUGGAGCGGCAGGAUAAUGGCGGAGGAAUGUGGCACGGCUUCUGCUGUGUGUUAUAGCCUCUGACGAUACUGCCAGCCUAGACCGAGGACUGCGGUUUUUAACCUAGGA